UGGAGUGCCGCGCUGGGCUGCAUCAGCCAUGGCGGCCGAGCGGAAGACCAAGUUGUCCAAGAACCUGCUGCGCAUGAAGUUCAUGCAAAGGGGACUGGAUUCAGAAACCAAGAAACAACUGGAAGAGGAAGAAAAGAAAAUCACUGGUGAAGAGCACUGGUACUUGGACUUGCCAGCCCUGACAGAGAAAGAGAGUUUCAUAAUAGAAGAGCAGAGUUUCUUGUUAUGUGAAGAUCUUCUCUAUGGAAGAAUGUCAUUCAGAGGAUUUAAUCCUGAGGUCGAGAAACUGAUGCUUCAGAUGAAUUCUAAGAACAAAGCAGAAGUUGUUGAAGAUGAAACAGAGGAGGCUGAUGUGUCAGAUGAAGAAAUGGCUAGAAGAUACGAGACCUUGGUGGGGACAAUUGGGAAAAAGUUUGCCAAGAAGAGAGACCGUGCCAAUUAUGAAGAAGAUGAAAAUGGAGAUGUAAAACCAAUUAAAACAAAGAAGAUGUUUUUGAAGCCCCAAGACUAAAACACAUGCCUCAAGAGAUGGCUCAGGGACAGCUUGUGAAAGACAGCAACGUAUUUCAGAACUCACCCUGAUGGUAUCUCCAUACCUAUAAUACUAUAAUGUCCAUUUGUAAAGGGGU